CCUCCCACCAGCGGCCUCGAUCUGGGAUCGCCAGGGACGCCGCCACCGCCGCCACGGAUCCCACGGACGCCGCCUCCGCGGAUCCCACGGCGCCACCUCGCCACCGCUGGUCGCCAUGGCGCGGCGUCACCCCGCCGCCACCACAGCCAAGCGCCGCGCCGCCCCUCCGAACCCUAGCCCGCCCCCUCCGCCCGCCGAUGGAUCGCUUCCGCUCCUCCACGCGGUGAGCUGCGGCGACCUGCGCCUCUACAAGAGGCUGGUGAGAGAUCUGGAUCAGGGCAGGGGCCGCCCCAGGGAGGUGGUGGAGGCGGCCAAGGACCAAGGUCUCGUGGCGCUGCACUUCGCUGCCGGGAAGGGAAGGCCACGGGUGUGCAGGUACCUGGUCGACGAGCUAGGGGUCGAUGUGGACGCCGUCGACAAUGGAGAAUUGGGCUAUAGGAAACUGUAUUUUGACCAGCACCAGUUUAUUUUUCGAAAUAAACCGGGGAUUCUGCCAUGCCCUGCGUCAAGUCCGGCUCUAGCGGCUGCUUGUUCUACCGGAGGAAGCACUCAUGGCGCUGCGAUGAGUUAGUGAGCAGGAGCACCCUGCAUCUGCUGGACUUUGAUGACGGUACACCACCAGAAGAUGCUUGGAGAAGAAGUAGUUACGCUAAUAGACUGAAGGAGUUCAAUGUGACGUUCAGAGAAGCAUUUAAAAUGGUAUGAAAAAUGCAAUUGUCAAACAGAGAUGAAGCUUGGUCUCCGGCUUUGGUCAUAUGUUCGAGAGGAAGCUUCUCAUGGAAGGAUCUUUAUAACUAGAGAAGGAUGAAGCAAAAGGUACUCCUCAGUUUUAGCUCCUGGUCAGCAUGAUGGUUUAAACAAGAAAAAAGUACUACAGGAGAUCUGAUGUACAGGUGAUCACUGAAGCAAAGAAAAGUACAGGAGUUCUGGUGCCAGAUUGUUCACACAAACAUAUCCUUGCCACUUCUACAAGUAAUAUCUUGCAAUAUAUUCUAUGAUGCCUGAUUGUUUAACACAUGGAUUGACAAACGUGUUUUGGCUUGCCAUGUUUCCGAUAAUUUCAGUUAUUGGAACAAAAUAACCAGGGGUACUGGCUAGCUAAUGUUUGGUACUGGACUGGACUUUAUCAGCCAUGAUAAUGAUUUUUUUUUUCUAAAGAAAACGUGAAUUUGAUGCUAGGCUGUUCCCACAAGACCCCACAGAAUGUUGGUCACAAAAACCAAUCCAGUUCAUUUUAUGCCAGUCACAAAAACCUGUUUGUCUUGUCCUCUCUUCUUCUUCCCGGCAACCUUGGCACAAUUACUGUGAUAUUUUGUGUGUGUUCUUUGACAACCUUUAUAUCACGGGCUGCCUCCACGUCCACCUUCGUCUACGAGCAUAUAUCAUCACCAUGAGGUGCAUACAGCUCAUGUGCAUUUGAAGUUGAUGGAGUGACAAAUCAAGUUUCCAUUGUGAAAUAUAUUAACUAAUGUGUGGGGAGAGUUUGGGUUCGGAAGGUAGUGUGUGGGACCGGAGGAAGGAAAGGGGAGAAAGAUGUGCUUUCCUCGCUGCAACGCACGGGCAAUUAACUAUAUUGCUAAUAAUUAUGAGGGCUCCUGCAGUGACACUACUAUUUUUGCAGGUGAAGCGACAACCAAGUUUCCAAGUUUAUGUCAGAAUACAAGAGAAGGGGGUUUAGUAUUUUCUUGAUGGCACAUGUUGGAAGGUGCCAUCUUUAUUUCUCUUAUCUUAUGGGUUUCCUCACAAUAGUUUUCUUACAAUGUGCACAAUUUUGCAACAAUAAACAUUGGCUGGGUAUAUACACUUGAAUGGAUGAUCUGGUUAGAUAGCA